UAGGAAAAUAUUCUGAUAUAGUAUAGCUUUAGCUAUAUGAAUGGAUUCACAGAAAAUAGACUUAAUAUUUGAAAGACUUCAAAAGUCGAAUCCUAUUCCAAAAAUAGAGCUCAGCUACACUAACCAUUUCACAUUAUUAGUUGCAAUAGUUUUAUCAGCGCGGACAACCGAUAUAAGUGUUAACAAAGUUACAAAAGAGUUAUUUAAAUUUGUUGAUAGCCCAGAAAAAAUGCUCAACCUGGGGCGUGGCGAGCUAAUGAAACGCAUAGCCAAUAUAGGUUUAUAUAACUCCAAGGCGAAAAACAUAGUU